rnacentral:rRNA from 1 species
UACGGGGGGGGCAAGCGUUGUUCGGAAUUACUGGGCGUAAAGGGCGCGUAGGCGGCCUGCUAAGUCGGAUGUGAAAUCCCUCGGCUCAACCGAGGAACUGCAUCCGAUACUGGCGGGCUUGAAUCCGGGAGAGGGAUGUGGAAUUCCAGGUGUAGCGGUGAAAUGCGUAGAUAUGUGGAGGAAUACCAAUGGCGAAGGCAGCCCCCUGGGAUAAUAUUGACGCUCAUGCACGAAAGCGUGGGGAGCAAACAGG